GUGCCAGCAGCCGCGGUAAUACGUAGGUGGCAAGCGUUAUCCGGAAUUAUUGGGCGUAAAGCGCGCGUAGGCGGUUUUUUAAGUCUGAUGUGAAAGCCCACGGCUCAACCGUGGAGGGUCAUUGGAAACUGGAAAACUUGAGUGCAGAAGAGGAAAGUGGAAUUCCAUGUGUAGCGGUGAAAUGCGCAGAGAUAUGGAGGAACACCAGUGGCGAAGGCGACUUUCUGGUCUGUAACUGACGCUGAUGUGC
rnacentral:rRNA from 2 species